GUGUCAGCAGCCGCGGUAAUACGUAGGUACCAAGCGUUGUUCGGAUUUACUGGGCGUAAAGGGCGCGUAGGCGGCAAUUCAAGUCAGUUGUGAAAUCUCCGAGCUUAACUCGGAACGGUCAACUGAUACUGUUUUGCUAGAGUACAGAAAGGGCAAUCGGAAUUCUUGGUGUAGCGGUGAAAUGCGUAGAUAUCAAGAGGAACACCUGAGGCGAAGGCGGGUUGCUAGGCUGAUACUGACGCUGAAGCGCGAAAGCUAGGGUAGCAAACGGGAUUAGAAACCCGCGUAGUCC
rnacentral:rRNA from 1 species